UCCGGAGAGGGAGCCUGAGAAAC
rnacentral:ncRNA from 4 species